rnacentral:rRNA from 1 species
ACGGAAGGCAGCAGUAGGGAAUAUUGCACAAUGGGGGAAACCCUGAUGCAGCAACGCCACGUGUGGGAAGACGCAUUUCGGUGUGUAAACCACUGUCGUGAGGGAAUAAGGCUGAGUUUCGGCUCAGUUGAAUGUACCUCGAAAGGAAGCACCGGCAAACUUCGUGCCAGCAGCCGCGGUAACACGAGGGGUGCAAGCGUUGUUCGGAAUCACUGGGCGUAAAGGGAGCGCAGGCGGAAGUGCAAGCGGUCUGUACAAUACCGGGGCCUAACCCCGGACCUGCAGACCGGACUGUUUCUCUUGGAUAGCUCAGGGGCUGGCGGAAUUCCUGGUGUAGCGGUGGAAUGCGUAGAGAUCAGGAAGAACACCGAUGGCGAAGGCAGCCAGCUGGGGGCUUAUCGACGCUCAUGCUCGAAAGUGCGGGUAGCAAACAGGAUUAGAUACCCUGGUA